GAGAGAAUGAUGAAACAGAAGAGUUUAGGAAGAAGCAUGGCUGGGAAAAAAUGCAGAAAAAAAAAAAAAAAGGGAGAAGACCAAAUUGUCUUCAAGAGAGUGAAGAAAAUGCAAAAGCCAUAUCAAUAGAAAUGGAUUUGCAUGGUGAAGAUGAUGGAUGAAUCUCCAUUUUUAUCUAUAAUUUCAGAAUCAACACCCCCAAAAAUGGUAUUCUUUUGCUUCUUCGUCUUCUCCAAUUUCAAAACACUCCACUCACCACUGUUUCAACUUAUUGCUUUUAUGCACUUCUCUCAACAGUCUUUUCUUUUUAGUACAAUCUUGUUUAUCUUUUUUAACACAUUGCAAUUUCUAUUUCCCUCCAACUAAUUUAUUCCUACAUUAUUAUGCUC